rnacentral:rRNA from 1 species
AACGAACGCUGGCGGCAUGCCUAACACAUGCAAGUCGAACGAGACCUUCGGGUCUAGUGGCGCACGGGUGCGUAACGCGUGGGAACCUGCCCUUAGGUUCGGAAUAACUCCCCGAAAGGGGUGCUAAUACCGGAUAAUGUCUUCGGACCAAAGAUUUAUCGCCUUUGGAUGGGCCCGCGUUGGAUUAGCUAGUUGGUAGGGUAAAAGCCUACCAAGGCGACGAUCCAUAGCUGGUCUGAGAGGAUGAUCAGCCACACUGGGACUGUGACACGGCCCAGACUCCUACGGGAGGCAGCAGUGGGGAAUAUUGGACAAUGGGCGAAAGCCUGAUCCAGCAAUGCCGCGUGAGUGCUGAAGGCAUUAGGGUUGUAAAGCUCUUUUACCCGGGAUGAUAAUGACAGUACCGGGAGAAUAAGCUCCGGCUAACUCCGUG